rnacentral:rRNA from 1 species
CCUACGGGAGGCAGCAGUGGGGAAUAUUGCACAAUGGGGGAAACCCUGAUGCAGCGACGCCGCGUGAGUGAAGAAGUAUCUCGGUACGUAAAGCUCUAUCAGCAGGGAAGAUAAUGACGGUACCUGACCAAGCAGCCCCGGCUAACUACGUGCCAGCAGCCGCGGUAAUACGUAGGGGGCAAGCGUUAUCCGGAUUUACUGGGUGUAAAGGGAGCGUAGACGGCAGCACAAGUCUGGAGUGAAAUCCCGGGGCUUAACCCCGGAAGUGCUUUUGAAACUGUGCGGGUGGAGUGCAGGAGGGGUAGGUGGAAUGCGUGGUGGAGAGGUGAUAUGCGUAGAGAUUAGGAAGAACGGCGAGGGCGAAGGCGGCUUACUGGACUGUAACUGACGUGGAGGAUCGAAAGUGUGGGGAGCAAACAGGAUUAGAUACCCAAGUAGUC